GCGGCGCCAUGGCGUGGGCGGGGCGACGACGCCGCUGUACUACGGCGGCGACAGGUCGGUGUUCGAGGAGCACCGGACGACGCU
rnacentral:tRNA from 1 species